rnacentral:misc_RNA from 1 species
GCAAAAACUGGACUCAUGCCCAUCCCUAGUCAAGGGCCAAAUAGAAGUCUCCCUGCCAACUAAAUACAGCGGCAAUUGGAUUCAAAGUUAGGAACCCAAAGAAGAGAUCUACUCCCACCAUUAACCACUUAAACUACCUUUCUAUCCUUUCCUCUGCCAGCCAACUGCCCCCAGUUCGUCUCCAAGGACUUCCUUUUCAGUUUCUUCUUACUCGUCCAUGAAAUGGGUAUCAAAAGUUUUGCCGUUCUAUUCAUUGCAACCUCAGUCUUCCUCUCUCUUUUGUACGUCCCAGGAAAACUAACCGUACGCAUUUCCAGAUUCAUCCAGUCAUCAACAUAAACAUGCUCAAAGGUCAAAAACCAUACCCGGUAACCUUUGCUUACUUCGUUUCUGCUUCUAGAGGUGAUGCCAAGAAGCUAACGAGGACCAUGAAGGCACUG